rnacentral:lncRNA from 1 species
AUUUCACAAUGUGAGGAUACAGCAAGAAGUGUCAUCUUGGAAGCAGAGAGCAAACACUCAUCAGACAUUAAAUCUGACAGCACCUUGAUCCUGGACUUCCCAGCCUCUAGAAAUUGUAUGCAAUGGUAUGAGGAACUGUUCCACAUUAAAGGAGACUAAGAAGACAUAACAACUCGAUGCAAUGUGUGAUUCUGGACUGGAUCUUGCAUUGGAGGAGAAAAUGCUAUAAAAGGUAUCACUGAGACAGUUAACAUCAUUGGAACAUGGAUGGUUGAUUAGAUGGAAGUAUUACAUUAAUGAUACAUUUCCUGAAUUUGGUAACUUUGCUAUUGUUACCUACAAGAAUAAUCUUGCUCUUAGGAAACAGUAAUAGGUUUACUGCCAUAUUUUGAAGAGAUAGAUAGCAUUUCCAGCUUCCACUCCUCUCAUUUUAAUGGGCAACAAGAAAAGGAACUACCAGGAGUAAGGUUCAAAUUUUAAUACACAGAAGAGGUGUAUCUAAAGGUUUAAUGAAAAUUGAAGGGUCAGAAGUACAUUCAUGUCCAGGGAUCACCAAUGAGGAAAUGUGCAGCAGAGCUGAUAAUAUUGUGUAGGAGAACAGACAAGGAACUCUUCUACUGAUGACCAAGGUGCUUCCCAACCACUGCCACUGUCUGCAUUCGAGUUUCGUUUUACCUCUGGACAUUUGCUUUGGCUGCUGCCACUUGGAAUGACUGCCACAGCUAAAUCGAGUGAUAUUUUUAACCCUAUGUGUUCAUGGAGGCACUCCAGCUACAAACCAAAGGAAAUCCCAAUUUAGAUUACUUGGAAUCAGUACUAUAAAAUUAUGCAGUUUGUGAAUAUAUUCUUGGUGUUUCACAGUUGACAACACUAUAUUCCCUUGAGUACCAAACUCACAGAAACCCCAUGGAAUGAUCUCUCUCUCCAAGUACAGUUUUUCUGGAAUCAGUAUGAGGUGUGAGACUAAUCAGACAAGGGCUUUAGCAAAUGUGCAUUUUUAAAAUAAACAGCCUAGAAAAAUUAUGGCAGUUCUUUUAUGGCCCAGAAUAACAUGUUUUCACUUAUCAGCUGCUUAACAGAGAAAUGAAUUGAUACAAAAAUGAUUUCAGUUCACCUUUCACUGACUAC